rnacentral:rRNA from 1 species
UCAAUAUAAAUUGAUUAGAUUUUAUUUAUUAAUUAUUUUGUUUUUUAUUUAAAUUAUUAAAAAUAAUUUUAUAAGUAAUUGUUUAAGUAAUUUUUAGUGAAUAAAUAUUUUUUAUUAUAGUGUAUUAGUAGCGUGAGUGAAUAUUGAAAUAUUUUGAAAAAUUUUUAUGUUAAAAGAAGAUUUAAUUUGUCGUACCUUGUGUAUCAGGGUUUAUCAAAUAAACAAUAAAUAUUUAUUUUUCUCGAUUUUAUAAGAGUUAAUGAUUUAUAAAAGUUAAUGUAUCAAAAUUAUUUUGUAUAAGUUAUUAGAAAUGAAAUGUUAUUCGUUUAUAAAGGUAUCUAGUUCUUUCAGAAAUGAAUUUAAUUUAGCAGCUUUUUAAUUUUUGUCUAUUUAUUUUAGUCAAAAUUAUUGAUUGUUGUAAUUUUUCAAGGGAUAAGCUUUGAAAAAGAUUAUUAAAAGUUAAUAUUUAUUUUCUUUAGGUGUAUGUAUAGAAUUUGCAAUCAUUGUUAAGUUUGUUACAAAUUAUUUUGUGAUUUAGAUUAUUUAUUUAUCUUUAAUUAUUUAUGAAAGUAUUUAUCUUAAUUUUUAAGAUAAAGUAAUAAUGUUAGAAUUAGUAUAUUAUGUUGUACUUAUAAAAUUAUUUGUGAAGUUUAUGUAAAGAAUUCGGCAAAUUUUAUACCCGCCUGUUUAACAAAAACAUGUCUUUUUGUAUUAUAUUUAAAGUCUGACCUGCCCAAUGAAUAAUUUUGAAUGGCCGCAGUAUCCUAACUGUGCAAAGGUAGCAUAAUCAUUAGUCUUUUAAUUGAAGGCUGGUAUGAAUGGUUGGACGAGGUAUAAACUGUUUCAUAUAAAUUUUUAUUAGAAUUUUAUAUUUUAGUUAAAAAGCUAAAAUUUUUUUAAAAGACGAGAAGACCCUAUAAAUCUUUAUAUUCUGUUUUAUUUAAAUUUUUUAGAUUUCUUUUAUUUUUAUGGAAUAGAUUAUUUUAUUGGGGUGAUAUUAAAAUUUAAUGAACUUUUAAUUUUUAAGACAUUUAUUUAUGAAUAUUUGAUCCAUUAUUAGUUAUUAUAAGUUUAAGUUACUUUAGGGAUAACCGCGUAAUUUUUUUGGAGAGUUCAUAUCGAUAAAAAAGAUUGCGACCUCGAUGUUGGAUUAAGAUAUAAUUUUAGGUGUAGCCGCUUAAAUUUUGAGUCUGUUCGACUUUUAAAUUCUUACAUGAUCUGAGUUCAAACCGGUG